UAGACCUCGUGUUAGUAAAAAUGUGUGACUUUUGAAUUAUGGAUCACCAAACCUAUCUAGGAGUGUUUGGGAAUACAGAAGGUAUUAAUCCAAUGGGGUUUACAGCAUAACAUCAUCGUAUCACACGCCAUCCAUGUGAAAUCUUAAAUAACACCUCGAAACACCAAGAGGCCAAUCUCCAACCAUAAGUCACUGAGAGUAAUUACUUGGGGAACAAGCUUUUUGGGGGAAUUCCAGCUCCUUUUCGUAUUAGCACUUGGACCUACAGGAGGCAUGAUUUUUGCACUAUCCUAGUGCUCAUUUCCGGGGAUGCGCCAGCAACCUAUUUAGGAGUCGUUCGGGUUUGUUUGGGAACUACCAGAGGGUGACAUUAGUAACUAUUGUGUGUUUAUCUCCUAUGAUUUAUUGUAAUGCACUGUUUAUUAAUUUUGUUUCAGAUUUAGUUUACCUAUUUAUAUAACAUAUUUGUAUAUUAUGGUAUUAAGUUCCCAAACUCAUAUAUCAUUUUGCAGUACUGUACGUUGAGCUCUGCAUAUUUGCCCAAAA
rnacentral:lncRNA from 1 species